CUUUAACCUCUUUCCUGCGGGUUCAGCCAUGUUACCAAACCGGCCACUCUGAUCCAGGGAGAGAAACAGUCGGUUCCAGUAACUGCGGAGCCACGUUAGCAGCAUGGAUGCAGAGAUGUCAGUCAGUCCAGACUGAAAUAUCUCUACAGCUGUUGGAUGGAUCGCUAUGAAACUACACAGAUGUUCAUGAUCCCCAGAGGAUGAAUCCUAAUAACUCUUCCUCUGGUGCCACCUUAAGCUCAGGAUGAGUGACGGGAGGGGCUGGCUGCUCCCCGGGGGUCAGCUGGUCAAGGAGGGAAGAAAGGCAGCCCCCCCACCACCACCUCCCCACCGGGGUCAACGGGACCUGCACCCUUGACACGACCCCCAGACACCUCUGUAAUCAUCCGGGCUGGACCUCGCUGUAACCGAUUACAGUCACGCUGCAGGAGGCCGCCCGGCUUCCACCCGGUGAUGCUGCACCGCAGGAAGCCCGACAUCGAGCCAACAGAGGCGACACAUCCGUCUGCUUCACCGCUCUGACCUUCCUUCACCGCUGAUUUCACAGAUUAUCCAACCGCAGGAGUUUCUGUGAUGCCACUUAUGGUGCCACGUCCAGUAUCUGAAAAAUGUAUCAGUGUCUUUGUAUGAAGCAGCGUCGAUCGGUCGGUCCACCACUCUGGUCCAGACUGAAAUAUCUCAACAACUAUUGGAUGAAUUCUCAUGAAAUUUGGUACAGACACUCAUGAGCCCUUAAUGAUGAAGUGUAGAGCUGCAGUGAUUAGUGGAUUAAUCAAUUAGUUGUCAACUAUUAAAUUCAUUGCCAACUAUUUUGAUAAUUGAUUAAUCGUUUGGAGUGAUUUUUUACUAAAAGGGGAAAGAAAAAGUGUUCUCUUGUCUAGUCAGUGAGGGUUGAUUACAUAUGUACAGUAUAUAACGUUGUGAUUACCUGUUAUGGUGUUUUUAAUGUGGACGGAGGUUUUUGCAAAGUGUCUUCAGUCUCUUAGGGUGUUUUCAUAAAGUGUUAUUUGGUCCUAGCGGGAUCCUCUACGGUCUGGUUGAACGGGACUCUAAUGGUUGGUUUUCCUUCCUGGUGAGGUUUGUUAGGGCAGAUCUGAACUCAGCAAACGUUCUCAGACCGAAACAACCACACAGAGACCCUUUAGAGGAGGUGGUCUCGGUCCGGUCACAGACAAAUUCAUUUAUAGUGGGAUGAUAGAGGGUCCAAACCAAGUUCACCAACUCAUCCGCUGAUUCAGACCGCAGCAAACCAGCUUCUGUCAGAUCGGCGCUAAUAUAAGAAAAGAUGAUCAAUCAGUGAUCAUUUAACAAACGUGAUGGAAAACUUUAAGUUAACAGGUCGGAUCCUCUUCAGUGUACAGAUAUUAAAUAAUCAACCUGAAGGUUUUCUUUUCUUUCUGCUCUUCUUCUCUGACGCUCGUCUCCCUCAGCUGAGCUUUAGAUGACACAGUCCUGAGCUACUGUUACAACCCCCUGAUGCUACACACACACACACACACACACACACACACAGCUCUGUCCC